rnacentral:ncRNA from 1 species
GGCUUUAGAGGUGGGAACAGCCUCCCCACACACCACCAUUGCUGCGGCAGCGGUGGUACAGUAACCCUGAAUUGGGUGAAGAGAUUCGGGUGUGGGCAACCCGGCUAAGGCC